AGGUAACUGAAAAGGCAGAAGUGUCCUCUUCUACACAGCCACUUUCACCUCCAGUCUCUCACGAAGCCCAUCAUGUUCUUGUGGAAACUUAAGGUUUGAAAAAUCAUCUGCAAGAUCUCCUUGAACCUCUGAAGAGCAGGAAAGAGAGUGAUUGUAAGAUCAAGGAGCAGGAAACAGAAGUGAUGACAACGGUGCUAUUCUCCCAUUCUGUAUGGCAUUCAGGGCAUGCUAGGUAUAACAAAGAGGGAAACACUGACACUAAUUUUGACUACUUCUAGCUACCCUUAGUAGUUAAUAGGUUGAGAAGGCACAAUGAGGCAAUUCAUAUAUAAGUAAGUCUUCCAAUACCCCUUCACACUGCUUAUGUAUCCAGCUAGUCUUUGGGUAGUGGGUAGGUGAACAAAUCCACUGCCAUUUUUGUCUGCUAGGUAGAAUUUCAGCUGAACACGUCUCAUAUAGGUAGUCCUUGACCUACAACAGACCACUUAACGAUUAUUCAAAGUUAUGACAUUUAAAAAAAAGUUACGACCCAAGCUUGAAGUUAGGACUGCCGCACCCCUGCGGUCACAUGAUCACAUUUCUGAUGCUUGGCAACAGAUUCAUAUUUACAAUCGGUUGUAGCAUCCCGUAGUCACAUGAUCAUGUUUUGUGACCUUUUUUUGGCCAUUUUCCUGGGAAAAAACAUCCAUUGGAUAAAAUAGAUUCAUGCUUACAACCAUAUGGUUCGCUCAACUGCUAUGGUUGCUCACUUAACAACCAUCAUAAAAAUGGUUGUAAAAUCAAGUCUGGUCAGAUGGUACAUCGACUUAUGAUUGCAAUGACUGAAAUUCCAGUCCCAAUUGUGGUCAUAAAUUGAGGAUUACCUGUACCUCUUAUAAAGAUUAGAUGUUUAUGAUUAGGAUCCAUCCACACUGCUGCCUAUGAAAAAAUUUCUGGGUAAAAGUAGUCUCAGAAUUACUAUUGAAAAUCUGUGAUGUGCAUUUCAAUAGGUCUGGCUUGUCUUCAGUGACUAAACAUCUGACAGCAACAAUGAAAACUAUAGGACUAUCACAAUUUGUCCAAGGGCCAACACAUGAUACUGAUCACAUACUUGAUUUGAUUUGACAUUUUCUAAGCAGGAAAGUGAGUAGGGUGGGUGGGAACAACUCAGGGUUCCUGUUGUCACAAUCUGAUCAUCAUCUGGUUAAGGUCAAAUUAUUGGCUACACUUCACUCUAGAGGAAGUGGACUCAUUAAUAUGGAUCAUAUAGAGAGUAAGGAAAAUGACCUUGAGGGAGAUAUGCAAGACAAGGGAUAAAACCUGUUUUAAGUCUAGGAUGGCCAGAUAAUGUUUAGAAAUGGCAGAUAACUUCCUAAUUCAUUGAACUAUAAGAAGGAAGAAGAGAUAUAGCAAAAUGAGAUUUGCAAGGUUCUGUUAUUAUAGCCCAUCUCAAUUAAAGUACUGUAGUUUCAAUCUUU